CGCUUCCUGCGCGGGCGGAUGGAGGAGUGGCUUCGCGGAGCUCGGGCCGUUCGUCGCGUGAAUCUCGCUGCUCGCCGACCGCUUCUCCCCCUGAAAUCGGGCUCGACUCUGGGAUAAAACCGAGGGCCGUCCCCUCCCCAGCAACAUCCACCACGGCUGCGCGGGCGCCGUUCAUCCCAUGGCGGAGACUCCCUACCCGGACUGCUCGGCCAGAACUUCCGUUCAUCCCAUUGCGAGCUCCUCUGCCGCGCCCCUGCUUCCCCAUGGCCCCUCGCCAGCCGUUGAAACUCCACCGUGCACGCGUCCCUGCUAGCGCCUUCCGUCGACCUCCCUGGCCGCCGUGCUUCAGGACCGGUGUGAGGGUAGACGAGUGAGAGACCACGCCGCGCGGCCGCACUUCCAGCCUGCCUCGCCGGGUCGCUAGAAUCACGGCGUCUCCGCCAUGUUGCCCUGACGGAGGCCACCAUCGCCGCAGGGAAGGAAGGUAAUGUCGCCACCGUAGGCGCGUGCUCGGCCCUGGGAACUCCGUCAGUGCCCCCGGCGCUCGAGCGCGGUCCGCUCGGCUGGCCUUGGAGCUUCGGGGGAUCACCACGGACCUGCUCGAGGCCUCGGUGGGUGGAGAUUGGAUCGGCGGGGCUCUGGAUUGCUCGUCGGUCUUCCGUUGUCGCCGCUGUACCACGGACCGCCGCGGCCGGGUGUAACCACUGCAGUUUCGGUGAGAACCACCCCAUUCCGCUCCGCGUUCAUGUGCGCAUCAUGUAGGACUUGUUGAAUCUGGGUGUGUGGCGGCGAUUUGGGCGUUGGUCGCCGCGGCGGCGAGAGCGCCACCGCGGAUGGACGGUGCCGCCGCGCCGGAGUGCGAAUUUGGGAAGGAGCGAAUCUGACCGUUCCAUCACAGGGUAACGGUCUCGAUUUAGUCGGGCAUGCGGAUCGGAUCUGGUGAUGGCGUGGCGCACUGUGGGCCGUGGGAUCGUGAUCCAAGCAUGUGCGGAGCCGUACCGCUUCGGGAGGUCAUAAAUCUAAUCUGGACCGUGCCUUUUAGAUCUAACGGCCAGAAUCAAUCUUACCGUUUCGGCCAGGUAACUUUGUAAAAGAGACCCUGCGAAAUAGAAGAACCAACCCGCAGUCCUCGGCCAAAGACUCUGGGUCUGCUGACUUUUUGUGUUAACGCCCCUGCACUUACUAAUAAUAAUGCGCCCAGUCCAGAAGAUUAGAAAAAUCAGGAAAAUGCAUACUUAGUCCAAAUUUAUUCAUUCCAAUUUGUAUAAUUUUGUAAUAUUAUUGUCUAUCACUUAGUACCACUGUUUGACAUGAAACCUAUGUUAAAUUGGAUCACCUAAUUAAUGUUGUAUUAACACAUAUAUUCGGAAAUUCAUAACUCCUCCGUUUUAAUUUCGAUUUGACUCGUUCGAGUUGCGUUAGCUUCGUAUAAAUAUUUACUACGCAGUAGCAACAUUUGUUAUAUGAUAUCCCCUACUUUUAUAAUUUGGUAACUAAUUAGAUUAAUCUGUGUCUAUUGGAUUAACCUCUUUAAUAUUAAAUAUAGUAUUCUCACUUAUGGUUAUAAUUUGACUAGAUGAUUUUUAAUCAAAUAAUGACUUGGAUUAAAGUUGAGAUAAUUAUUUAUAGAAUAAUCACUCAUAUGGUUUAUAUUAACCAAUUUAUAAUAUAUUUUUAUAUUUUAAUCACAUAAAUCCUCUAUAAAAUCAUAACUCCUUAACCAUAACUCCGAUUUUAGUGGUUCUCGUCUCUCACGAUCUCAUAGAAAUGCGUAGAAUAUUCUUAUUCAGUUUGUACUUAUGUUUGAUGUGAUGUUAAUUUUAUCUAUACCAUGUUUGUUUGUAUUGCUACGACUAGCAGUGAGGUCACGAGGAUCUGAAGAAUCACCCUAGUAACUGGAAUCUCAAGUGCCAG
rnacentral:lncRNA from 1 species